rnacentral:rRNA from 1 species
UGGGGAAUAUUGGACAAUGGGCGAAAGCCUGAUCCAGCCAUGCCGCGUGUGUGAAGAAGGUCUUCGGAUUGUAAAGCACUUUAAGUUGGGAGGAAGGGCAGUAAGCGAAUACCUUGCUGUUUUGACGUUACCGACAGAAUAAGCACCGGCUAACUCUGUGCCAGCAGCCGCGGUAAUACAGAGGGUGCAAGCGUUAAUCGGAAUUACUGGGCGUAAAGCGCGCGUAGGUGGUUCGUUAAGUUGAAUGUGAAAGCCCCGGGCUCAACCUGGGAACAGCAUCCAAAACUGGCGAGCUAGAGUAGGGCAGAGGGUGGUGGAAUUUGCUGUGUAGCGGUGAAAUGCGUAGAUAUAGGAAGGAACACCAGUAGCGAAGGCGACCACCUGGGCUCAUACUGACACUGAGGUGCGAAAGCGUGGGGAGCAAACAGG